rnacentral:rRNA from 1 species
UACGGAAGGCAGCAGUGGGGAAUAUUGCACAAUGGGCGCAAGCCUGAUGCAGCCAUGCCGCGUGUAUGAAAAAGGCCUUCGGGUUGUAAAGUACUUUCAGUCGUGAGGAAGGUGUUAAGGUUAAUAACCUUAGCAAUUGACGUUAGCGACAGAAGAAGCACCGGCUAACUCCGUGCCAGCAGCCGCGGUAAUACGGAGGGUGCGAGCGUUAAUCGGAAUUACUGGGCGUAAAGGGCACGCAGGCGGUUAAUUAAGUUGGAUGUGAAAUCCCCGGGCUUAACCUGGGAAUGGCAUUCAAGACUGGUUAGCUAGAGUCUUGUAGAGGGGGUAGAAUUCCAUGUGUAGCGGCGAAAUGCGUAGAGAUGUGGAGGAAUACCGGUGGCGAAGGCGGCCCCUGGACAAAGACUGACGCUCAUGUGCGAAAGCGUGGGGAGCAAACAGGGAUUAGAUACC